rnacentral:rRNA from 1 species
GUAGGUGGCAAGCGUUGUCCGGAAUUAUUGGGCGUAAAGCGCGCGCAGGUGGUUCUUUAAGUCUGAUGUGAAAGACCCCCCCGGGCUCAACCGGGGGAGGGUCAUUGGAAACUGGGGAACUUGAGUGCAGGAGAGGAAAGUGGAAUUCCACGUGUAGCGGUGAAAUGCGUAGAUAUGUGGAGGAACACCAGUGGCGAAGGCGACUUUCUGGCCUGUAACUGACACUGAGGCGCGAAAGCGUGGGGAGCAAACAGGAUUAGAUACCCUGGUAGUCCACGCCGUAAACGAUGAGUGCUAAGUGUUGGGGGGCUUCCGCCCCUCAGUGCUGCAGCUAACGCAUUAAGCACUCCGCCUGGGGAGUACGGUCGCAAAGACUG